CAGCCAUAUCACAUUGAAACUCCAGUUCUUGGACGAUCACUGAAGUUAAGCAACAUUGAGCCUGGACAGUACCUAGAUGGUGACCAGUUGGGAAUACCAGGAACUGUAUG
rnacentral:rRNA from 1 species